GGGCGUGUUCCAGAGUGGCCAAAUGGGGCAGACUGUAAAUCUGCUGGCUUUCGCCUUCGGUGGUUCGAAUCCAUCCGCGCCCA
rnacentral:tRNA from 2 species